GUGCUAGCUUCGGCAGCACAAAUACUAAACUUGGAAUGAUACAGAGAUUAGCAUAAUCCCUGCACAAGGGUGAUGCGCAAAAUCGUGAAGUGUUCCAUAUUUUU